CGCGUGCGCCACCAGGACGGAUCCCCCGGGUGUGCCACAGUAUCGAUCUCCUCCGUGUGAGGCGUAGUCUCCUCCAUGCUCGGGACGGCUCCUCCGCGCCCGCCGCCGGUUUUCGUCUCCUCCACCCGCACCUGGGAUGGCUCCUCCGCGCGUGUUAUGGUUGAUUAUUAGUUGGGUUCUGAUUUUGGGAUUCAUGGCUCUUGUGUAUUGAGGUGACAAACUAUAACAAUCAACGACCAAGCAGGUUUGGUAGUGUGAACUAUCUCCCUGGAUUGCUUUCCUUGUAAUCUUGUUGCCCUGUAUAUGAUAGAUGCUGCUACUUGGAGGCGUUUUACAUUUUAGUUGUCAAAAUUACCUCUUCAGAAAACAGACUAGCAUAUUCUUUAUUGUUAAACAAGGGAACCUGUUCUUCAAUCCUCUUUUAGAAACCAUGGAAUUCUUGGCACGUUUUUGUAGAUUUAUAGGUGGGGCCAAUUAGCUAACUGAAUUGUGAGUAAUGCUUAAUAUUUUUUUAAUAUGAACAGUGAAUGGGAUGUAACACUGAGGGACAGCUAUGCCUCUUAUAUUGGGCACUAUCCAAUGUUGGCAUAUCUUGCUAUUGCUGAAAAUGAAUCAAUUGGAAGAAAGCAUUACAAUUUUAUGCAGAUUUGUCUAUGAGGAAUGGCCUGUAUCUUCCCCAAGCAAAAUUAUCUGGAGUACAUGAGGCUCUGGCACCCUCAGAAGUAUGUGCCAUGCUGCAAAGUGGCGUCAAGGCAUCAGAUUCUGGGAUUGCCCUACUUCCUGUAAACCAAAUUAAAGUUCUCAUCCUCGCAUGUGUAGUUUUCUUUUCAUCUUUUGCUUCCUGCUGCUUUGUUUGGUCUGUGCAGGUUCAGAACAUAAUACCUCUUCUUCUUCGACGACAGUAGCUUGUGCAUGAAGUAGCAGUGGCUUGGGCUCACAAUGCAGCGCAAAGGAGUCUGCAGCUCGAGAGGCAUCGUUUCAGGAGCUGCAGGUGAUUCUGUUGUGAGGUUUGCGAACAGCAGCUCAGCUUAGUUCUGAAUUGUGUGGAGUGUCUCUAUCAUUGCUAUGUAAUCUAAUCUUCGACUCCAUAUUUUAUUCCUUGCCUGCUUGUUUUAGCUUUUGGGUUCGUCAUGUGAAGUAGUCAGUAGUUUAAUUCUUCAA